GUAAGGAAUCUUCCACAAUGGACGAAAGUCUGAUGGAGCAACGCCGCGUGCAGGAUGACGGUCUUCGGAUUGUAAACUGCUUUUAUAUGGGAAGAUUAUGACGGUACCAUAUGAAUAAGGACCGGCUAACUACGUGCCAGCAGCCGCGGUAAUACGUAGGGUCCAAGCGUUAUCCGGAAUCACUGGGCGUAAAGCGUGCGUAGGUGGCGUGUUAAGUGAGAUGUUAAAUCGUGUGGCUCAACCAUAUCGAUGUAUCUCAUACUGGCAUGCUAGAGGACAGCAGAGGCAAGUGGAAUUACGAGUGUAGCAGUGAAAUGCGUAGAUAUUCGUAGGAACACCAAUGGCGAAGGCAGCUUGCUGGGCUACUCCUGACACUGAGGUACGAAAGCGUGGGGAGCGAACAGGAUUAGAUACCCUUGUAGUCC
rnacentral:rRNA from 1 species